rnacentral:misc_RNA from 1 species
UACGGGAGGCAGCAGUGGGGAAUUUUGACAAUGGGGGAAACCCUGAUCCAGCCAUCCCGCGUGUGCGAUGAAGGCUUUCAAGUUAAAGCACUUUUGGCAGGAAAGAAACGGCACGGAGCGGGCGUUCGUGCAAAUCCACGGUACCUGCAGAAUAAGCACCGGCUAACUACGUGCCAGCAGCCGCGGUAAUACGUAGGGUGCAAGCGUUAAUCGGAAUUACUGGGCGUAAAAGUGCGCAGGCGGUUCGGAAAGAAAGAUGUGAAUCCCAGAGCUUAACUUUGGAACUGCAUUUUUAACUACCGAGCUAGAGUGUACGGGAGGUGGAAUUCCGCGUGUAGCAGUGAAAAUGCGUAGAUAUGCGGAGGAACCGGAUGGCGAAGGCAGCCUCCUGGGAUAACACUGACGCUCAUGCACGAAAGCGUGGGGAGCAAACAGGAUUAGAUACCCUGGUAGU